rnacentral:rRNA from 1 species
UGCAGUCGACGAUGAUCCCAGCUUGCUGGGGGAUUAGUGGCGAACGGGUGAGUAACACGUGAGUAACCUGCCCUUGACUCUGGGAUAAGCCUGGGAAACUGGGUCUAAUACCGGAUACGACCAUCUGGCGCAUGUCAUGGUGGUGGAAAGCUUUUGUGGUUUUGGAUGGACUCGCGGCCUAUCAGCUUGUUGGUGGGGUAAUGGCCUACCAAGGCGACGACGGGUAGCCGGCCUGAGAGGGUGACCGGCCACACUGGGACUGAGACACGGCCCAGACUCCUACGGGAGGCAGCAGUGGGGAAUAUUGCACAAUGGGCGCAAGCCUGAUGCAGCGACGCCGCGUGAGGGAUGACGGCCUUCGGGUUGUAAACCUCUUUCAGUAGGGAAGAAGCCGUAAGGUGACGGUACCUGCAGAAGAAGCGCCGGCUAACUACGUGCCAGCAGCCGCGGUAAUACGUAGGGCGCAAGCGUUAUCCGGAAUUAUUGGGCGUAAAGAGCUCGUAGGCGGUUUGUCGCGUCUGCUGUGAAAGACCGGGGCUCAACUCCGGUUCUGCAGUGGGUACGGGCAGACUAGAGUGCAGUAGGGGAGACUGGAAUUCCUGGUGUAGCGGUGAAAUGCGCAGAUAUCAGGAGGAACACCGAUGGCGAAGGCAGGUCUCUGGGCUGUAACUGACGCUGAGGAGCGAAAGCAUGGGGAGCGAACAGGAUUAGAUACCCUGGUAGUCCAUGCCGUAAACGUUGGGCACUAGGUGUGGGGGACAUUCCACGUUUUCCGCGCCGUAGCUAACGCAUUAAGUGCCCCGCCUGGGGAGUACGGCCGCAAGGCUAAAACUCAAAGGAAUUGACGGGGGCCCGCCACAAGCGGCCGGAGCAUGCGGAUUAAU